GAGGGGUGGCCGAGCGGUUUAAGGCACCAGUCUUGAAAACUGGCGAUUCCGUAAGGAACCGUGGGUUCGAAUCCCACCCCCUCC
rnacentral:tRNA from 1 species